rnacentral:rRNA from 1 species
GCAUAUCAAUAAGCGGAGGAAAAGAAACCAACAGGGAUUGCCCCCAGUAACGGCGAAGUGAAGCGGCAAGAAGCUUCAAAUUUGAAAGCUGGCUCCUUCGGGGUCCGCAUUGUAAUUUGUAGAGGAUGCUUCGGGAGCGGUCCCCAUCUAAGUGCCCUGGAACGGGACGUCAUAGAGGGUGAGAAUCCCGUAUGGGAUGGGGUGUCCGCGCCCGUGUGAAGCUCCUUCGACGAGUCGAGUUGUUUGGGAAUGCAGCUCUAAAUGGGUGGUAAAUUUCAUCUAAAGCUAAAUAUUGGCCGGAGACCGAUAGCGCACAAGUAGAGUGAUCGAAAGAUGAAAAGCACUUUGAAAAGAGAGUUAAAAAGCACGUGAAAUUGUUGAAAGGGAAGCGCUUGCGACCAGACUCGCUCGCGGGGUUCAGCCGGCAUUCGUGCCGGUGUACUUCCCCGCGGGCGGGCCAGCGUCGGUUUGGGCGGUCGGUCAAAGGCCCUCGGAAGGUAACGCCCCUAGGGGCGUCUUAUAGCCGAGGGUGCAAUGCGACCUGCCUAGACCGAGGAACGCGCUUCGGCUCGGACGCUGGCAUAAUGGUCGUAAGCGACCCGUCUUGAAACACGGACCAAGGAGUCUAACAUCUACGCGAGUGUUCGGGUGUCAAACCCGUGCGCGAAGUGAAAGCGAACGGAGGUGGGAACCCUUACGGGUGCACCAUCGACCGAUCCUGAAGUCUUCGGAUGGAUUUGAGUAAGAGCGUAGCUGUUGGGACCCGAAAGAUGGUGAACUAUGCCUGAAUAGGGCGAAGCCAGAGGAAACUCUGGUGGAGGCUCGUAGCGGUUCUGACGUGCAAAUCGAUCGUCGAAUUUGGGUAUAGGGGGCGAAAGACUAAUCGAACCAUCUGGUAGCUGGUUCCUGCCGAAG